GGAGGGCAAGUCUGGUGCCAGCAGCCGCGGUAAUUCCAGCUCCAAUAGCGUAUAUUAAAGUUGUUGCGGUUAAAACGCUCGUAGUUGGAUCUGCGGUUGUGGAGGACGGUCCCCCGAAAGGGUGGUCACUGUCUCUCCUAGCCUAAAUUCGAGUCGUCUCUAGGUGCUCUUUACCGAGUGCCUAGAGUGACUAGAACGUUUACUUUGAAAAAAUUAGAGUGCUUAAAGCAGGCGAAAUAGCCUGAAUAAAAUGCAUGGAAUAAUGGAAUAGGACCUCGGUUCUAUUUUGUUGGUUUUCGGAGCCCGAGGUAAUGAUUAAGAGGAACGGACGGGGGCAUUCGUAUUCCGGCGCUAGAGGUGAAAUUCUUGGACCGCCGGAAGACGGACGACUGCGAAAGCAUUUGCCAAGAAUGUUUUCAUUAAUCAAGAACGAAAGUUAGAGGUUCGAAGGCGAUCAGAUACCGCCCUAGUUCUGACCGUAA
rnacentral:rRNA from 1 species